UCAAUAAGCGGAGGAAAAGAAACUAACAAGGAUUCCCCUAGUAGCGGCGAGCGAAGCGGGAAGAGCUCAAAUUUAUAAUCUGGCACCUUCGGUGUCCGAGUUGUAAUCUCUAGAAAUGUUUUCCGCGUUGGACCGCACACAAGUCUGUUGGAAUACAGCGGCAUAGUGGUGAGACCCCCGUAUAUGGUGCGGACGCCCAGCGCUUUGUGAUACAUUUUCGAAGAGUCGAGUUGUUUGGGAAUGCAGCUCAAAUUGGGUGGUAAAUUCCAUCUAAAGCUAAAUAUUGGCGAGAGACCGAUAGCGAACAAGUACCGUGAGGGAAAGAUGAAAAGCACUUUGGAAAGAGAGUUAACAGUACGUGAAAUUGUUGGAAGGGAAACGCUUGAAGUCAGACUUGCUUGCUGAGCAAUCGGUUUGCAGGCCAGCAUCAGUUUUCCGGGAUGGAUAAUGGUAGAGAGAAGGUAGCAGUUUCGGCUGUGUUAUAGCUCUCUGCUGGAUACAUCUUGGGGGACUGAGGAACGCAGUGUGCCUUUGGCGGGGGUUUCGACCUCUUCACACUUAGGAUGCUGGUGGAAUGGCUUUAAACGACCCGUCUUGAAACAC
rnacentral:rRNA from 1 species